GGGGGUAUAGCUCAUUUGGUAGAGCGCUUGAAUGGCAUUCAAGAGGCGAGUGGUUCGAAUCCGCUUAUCUCCACCA
rnacentral:tRNA from 1 species